GAUUUCUGGGAGACGUAACUGGCCCGCGCCUUUACGGGCGUGCGUGCCGGCCUCUGUCUUUCAUCCUUCUAGAGUGCCGCGUCUACUCUUCACUGAGCUGGGCGUGUGCGUUCUAGAUCGUUUACUUUGAAAAAAUUAGAGUGUUUAAAGCAGGCUUACGCUGUGAAUACAUUAGCAUGGAAUAAUAAUUUAGGACUUCGGUUCUAUUUUGUUGGUUUCUAGGACUGAAGUAAUGAUUGAUAGGGAUAGUUGGGGGUGCUAGUAUUCAGCGGCCAGAGGUGAAAUUCUCGGAUUCGCUGAAGACUAACUUAUGCGAAAGCAUU
rnacentral:rRNA from 1 species